rnacentral:sRNA from 1 species
GUAACAUUCUAAAGGUAGUAGGGUCUUGAUUGGGUUGCUUAGGCAUUGAAAGGCUGUUUAACUUGUCUUGAAGUCUAUCUUUCCUUGAUGCCUUCUCUGCGGUAAGAACACUGAUACAGAUGGAAUGACGGGAAGUGGUUUUCCUUUCUUUCAGUUGGUGAGUUUGUAAGUGAUGCCCUUCUCGUUCCUGACAAGUGCAAAUUCUUACACCAGGAGAGGAUGGAUGUUUGUGAAACUCAUCUUCACUGGCACACCGUCGCCAAAGAGACAUGCAGUGAGAAGAGUACCAACUUGCAUGACUACGGCAUGUUGCUGCCCUGCGGAAUUGACAAGUUCCGAGGGGUAGAGUUUGUGUGUUGCCCACUGGCUGAAGAAAGUGACAAUGUGGAUUCUGCUGAUGCGGAGGAGGAUGACUCGGAUGUCUGGUGGGGCGGAGCAGACACAGACUAUGCAGAUGGGAGUGAAGACAAAGUAGUAGAAGUAGCAGAGGAGGAAGAAGUGGCUGAGGUGGAAGAAGAAGAAGCCGAUGAUGACGAGGACGAUGAGGAUGGUGAUGAGGUAGAGGAAGAGGCUGAGGAACCC